AACGCACAUUGCGCCCCUUGGCAUUCCGAAGGGCAUGCCUGUUCGAGCGUCAUGAUCAAAUCUCAAGCCUUGCUUGGUAUUGGGUUUUCGUCUUUCUCGUCCUUCAUUUACGAGUAUUGAUGUGCCUAAAAAUCAGUGGCAGCGCCUCAAUAGCCUCAAGCGUAGAAGACUGACUCGCUUUGGAGAACUAUUGUGGAUCCUGUCAAUUAAAACAAAGGUUGACCUCGGAUCAGGUAGGGAUACCCGCUGAACUUAA
rnacentral:misc_RNA from 1 species